UGCUCUUCAGAAUUCAGAAUUGUCUAUGUGACAUAGUAGUUGAAAGACAAUUUUCAGAAGGAAAAGCUACCUGAGGGAAGAGGGUGACUGCUGCGUAGUCUGUGACCUCAGUGAUUAUGGCUUAGACCCAUGGACCUGCACUGGGCCAAGCUGGUGGUCAUGGCAGGUUCUGUCAAUGACCACUCGUCAAGGCAAGGUGGGGAAUGAAAAUGGCACCUCUAAGCCUUGAAGCAGAGAUCUCUAUCAUGUCAAGAUCUUUCCCUAUUAAGUUCAGGUAAUGUAAUUAAGUAAAAAAAAUGCUUGUCUGAAUAAUUUUGUUUUUGUACCAGCUAAGUUGGGAGAAGUCAUAUGAGUGUGAUUGUGUAGUUGGAAAUGUCUUCCAUAGUUCACUUCAAAAUCUGUCUCUUGGUGAGGUCUCUGGAAGCAAAGAAAUAAAGUGUUUUAUGACAAAUAAAGGCA
rnacentral:lncRNA from 1 species